AAACAUGCAGUGGUUGGGCCAACCACGGAAAAUCGUCAAAGGAAAAUCGUUGUUGGGCCAUGGUUGGCCCAACACUAAUUAACAUGUACUAUAAAUGCAGUUGUUGGCCCAACGUCGAACCAACCAUAAGUUAACGCCAGCGACAUUUCUGCAUUGGCCCAAUAGCGAUAAAUAUGUACUUUAAAACAGAUGUUGGGCCAACGUUUGACCAACGAUACAUUUUCGUCAAAUAUAUUACUGCACCUGACCCAAUUUUUUUAAACACAUAUAUGCAUGUAGAUAUUUUACUGUAUAUAAACAGUACACUACAAUGAGUAAAGACUUAAGUUUAUAAAGUUUUUUUUGAAGCCAUGUUUCAAUAUUGUCACAUUCAAGAAAUACUCAUAUAAAUUAAAUCAGAAAUGUACGUAAGAAAUAAUUACUUUGUGAGUCUAGAAAUGACCAAAGCCCAGGCUAUGCAGUAGUAGGGGAUGUAUCUAUAUAGAUCUAUAGAAAUCUUGAAGAUCUGAUGUAUAAUCUAAGGCAAUUAUACAUGUGCUGAAACAGAUUAACCAUCCUAAAUGUUUACAAUAAACCUCCGGAAUCUUCCACUCUAAACUCUAAUUAACCUCUGGUUAUGUAAUCAAUGAAUGGAAAUAGGAUCAUUUUGGCACUACCCAUCCGUUCCCUCCCUUGAUUUCGAGCUGCGUGGACGUGUUUACAGAUAUAUUUAAAUAAAUUUGAAUUAGACUGCAAUUUCUCAACACUGAAAAAUGUAAGUAGAUCUAGAGUUUUUUACUUUAAUCUUUAAAAUAAACCCUUCUAAUAUAUUAAUGUAUUUAAACCUGCACGGAAUUAGUGUUUUAAAACCUGUUAUACUAUCCACGUGACCAGGUCAUGUGAUUAAUACAAAAUGGCGGAUUGGUAAUGGAAAAUACUUUGAUGUUUUCAGGUAAACAAGCCAGAAUGAAUUUGAUUUUUGUAAUGAAAUUAAAACCAUUUAAUUAUAUUAAAAUAUGAUAUGUGCAUAAUUUUACAUCUGAAUUUAUUGUGAUAACUGCAAACAAUCUUUGAUAAGUUUGCAAGUUAGUACAAACUGACAAACUACAAUUAGCACUGUUAAGCUCAUACAAUCUGCUCUGAGUAAUAAAUAGGUAAUUUAUAUUAAUAUGUUUGGUAGUGGUAUACGAAACUUUGUGUAAAUUUAAUUUAAAGUGUAACUUCGCAUUAAACACAAAUUACUUUACCCGACUGCAAAAUUGUUUUUAUUUCAUUUCAGACAGCAAAUUUAUGUCUAAUUGGAGGAGCAAUGUUCGCAGUGUUAUGUCUCACACUUUGUCUUAGGAAGUUGCCCUAGAAUACAACUGGGUUGGAAAAGGCUCGAAAAACCAUUCGAAAAACUUAGACUUAAAACAGUCAUAUUAGAUGCUGUAAGAGGAAGUAGACAGAGGUCUACUCAUAAUGAAAUCGAGAAGACAAUGAAGGAGGGGCUAAGAUAUGCCAAGGAUAGGGGAGGCGGGCGGAGGAAGAGACUGGCUAAAAAGUUGCAACAACAAAGAGAAGAAAAUGAAAAUGAUAUGUGAACAACAUUUAGAAAUAAAUUGUAGUAAUUAGAA